UGACUUGUUUCAUGUGAGUGCGUGCAUCCUCAGUAAGAAAAAAUCUAAUCCUCUCUCACCCAAAUGGUUCCCUGGUUCAACAUUUCAACCAAAUCAAAGGUCCAGCAUUAUUGAAUGAUCUUGGCUGAUCUCUUACAAUAACGAUGGAGAGAAUCACAAAUGGGAUCCAUGAGUUCUAGGGUUUAGGUCAGCACCCCGGGGGAAAGUCCUUCGGGUGAUCCAGCCGUCUAUAAGGGUGUCUAACACCUCUAACCCAUGGUUAACACCCUAUGGAUGUUGAUGGUUCUAUUUUUGGGUUGUGGGACUAUAUCUAUGAAUGAUGGGAGAUGAGGUAGGGCGAGGGCGAUUAUCUGCAGGGGAGAGGAACUUAAUUCGAGAGUCCGUUGCUUAACACAUCAUCUUCGAAGGUGCUCUUUCUCUCACACACACAUAUCAAAGUUGUGUAAGGUCAAGAAGAUGAUAAAUGCGUAUGAAGUGAUGAGGGAUACCGGAUAUCCUUUCUGCACCCAGAAAGGCAAAGGAGUGGAAAAUUUUAUGGACGGCCAUUUCAAAGGCUUAGCAGGAUGGUGGCCUUAAUUCCAAAGUAAUCAAUCACAUGGAGAAUUGGAGAACUGGAGAUGGGAGGCUGCCUCAUCACACUCAUGACUCAUGUGGUCCAUGAAGAUCUUCAUUGGGGCUCAAAUCCCAUGUCAAGCUUUAGCCCCCACCUCAAACAAAAAGAUCAGUCACUUGUAUUUGGAUCAUGUCUUUGUAUUUUCCAAGCCCAAGAUUCCGUUUGGUUACAAGAAAAUGAAGGGCAUUAAUCUCCA